UAUUGAAAACUGCAGAUAGGUGUCCCAAAUUCACCAUUUUAGGACCUCUCCCCUCUCUUUCUCUCUCAUUUUCUUGAGGUAGUUAGGCUUAAUUUCUAGCUAGAGUUAUAGUAGUGGCAUCGAACGAAGAGAAGGGGUGUUUGUGAGCAAGAUGGAGAAGCAGGGCACGUGCACUACUAACUCAUGCACACAGAGAGGGAGACGCAUUUCUUGCUGGAGCUACGAGUUACGACUCUUACCUACGAUUGAUUUUGUUAGCUCCAGUGAGUUAGUUAUUCAUGUGCCUUUCUUCCCCAUCAUGAUCACUACCACACCUAGCUAUAUUGCUCCAUCUCGGGUACUUCAAGUAGGAGAAUCUCCGGUUCAGGUGCUGAAUCCAUGCAUGCAGAAAUGGACGUUAAACUUUCAACAAUUGAAAGAGAAGUCCUUGUAGCACCUAAAAAGUCCACUUCACGAAAGUCCUUUCAAACGAAAAGGCAGAAAGUGAAUGAAUAUAUAUUUUUCCUGCUCUUUAUGGUGGCUUAUAUGGAGUUGUUCUCCCACUGGAGUUGGAAAGCCAGUGAAUUUUUAACCAUCCUUUGCCAAAUAUAUAGAAUUCUCCUAGGAGUUGCGGAACAAAAUUAUUCUACCAC